AUGCUCCAGUUAGUAUUUUCACCCCAUAAUGGCCACCAUGCUACCGGAGCGCCAUCUAGUGGCUGUUACCCAAAAAAUAUCAAAGUGUCGCCUCCUGGGAUCUAAGCUCUUUCGUUCAACUUGUGACACUGUCACAUAAGACGCAUGUUUUAUCUGCUCAAUAUAUAUAUCAUGAUGGUUUUAUGUAUAUUUGAGUUUUAAUUGGGUUACAUGUUGUCUUAGCCAUUUUAUUCCUCUUAACUAUUUAAUGUGUGUAUGUCUUUAAAUGAGUCUGGGUCUGCCUGUCAUGUGACUGAUCACAUGACAGGAAUAAGGAAGUAAGCCAGUAUAAAGGAGGCAGCAUGCCAAACAAUCAGUCCCUUCAUUUAUAAACGUGAUCACAUAUCAGCUGGACUGUGGAGUUGCACUUUAUGGAACUACAGCUGAUCACAUAUCAGCUGGACUGUGGAGUUGCACUUUAUGGACUUGCCUUUCCAGCAAUUCAUAUCACCUUCUCUUGGAUUAACACUUCCGUGGACUUUGUAUAUACACCGGUGGACACUUUCACAUUGGGACUUUAUCAGCACUCUACUAGGACUCUUAAGGACUGUUUUAGGAACUACCAGAAAUCAUCUGGAGGAGAGGACAGAGAGAUCCAGUGAUCCAGAACCUGCGGAUGAAACAUCACGAUCCUGAAGAACAAAGAGACCUGAUGGACGUGAACAAGAAAGGAACAACAGAAGCCAAAACGUCUACAAAGCAAAAUCCCCAGAGAUAAAUCAGCUCUGCUCAGAUUACAUAUGGUCCAUUUCUAUAUAGUGUUAAAGUAACACUGAAGCAGAGUGAAAGUUAAUGAGAUAAUUAAGUGAUUAAGCUACGAUUGAGCAUUAGUGAUGAACACCUGCUGUUAACAAGCAGAAUCACUGAAGAGAAACACAAUAACUACAAAGAACUUACAGCCACAGCCUUAGAUGAAAUAAAAUACAUCUAAGACUUAUACAUUGUGAUUUGCAGUGUCACCUUUUGAAGAAGAAUAUGAAACGUUACUGCAUAUCUCCAUAGAGAUCCAUUCAAGAGCGUCAUUGUGUCGUACAUUUGCAUCACUUAAUCACGCCCUUUACUGGUGACAAAACAUAAGAUCUCUCAUCAUGAAGCUUUUAUUCAGGAUUACAGUGAAUGACUAAAACAUUGUUACUCACAAGUGUGUUGAGACAUUGGCUGUUGUCCUCACUGCCUGCUCUGACAAAAAUAAAGUUCAUCCACACUC